rnacentral:rRNA from 1 species
UACGGGGGAUGCAAGCGUUAUCCGGAAUCAUUGGGCGUAAAGCGCCUGUAGGUUGUUUAAUAAGUCUGUUGUUAAAGACUAGGGCUUAACCCUAGGAAAGCAAUGGAAACUACUAGACUUGAGUAUGAUAGGGGUAGAGGGAAUUUCUAGUGUAGCGGUGAAAUGCGUAGAUAUUAGGAAGAACACCGGUGGCGAAGGCGCUCUACUGGAUCAUUACUGACACUCAGAGGCGAAAGCUAGGGUAGCCAAAGGGAUUAGAUACCCCUGUAGUCCUAGCCGUAAACGAUGGAUACUAGAUGUUGCGCUUAUUGUGCAGUGUCGUAGCUAACGCGUUAAGUAUCCCGCCUGGGGAGUACGAUCGCAAGGUUA